UACGUAGGGGGCUAGCGUUGUCCGGAAUCAUUGGGCGUAAAGAGCGUGUAGGCGGUCCGGUAAGUCCGUUGUGAAAGUCAGGGGCUCAACCCUUGAAUGCCGGCGGAUACUGUCGGGCUAGAGUCCGGAAGAGGCGAGUGGAAUUCCCGGUGUAGCGGUGAAAUGCGCAGAUAUCGGGAGGAACACCUAUGGCGAAGGCAGCUCGCUGGGACGGUACUGACACUGAGACGCGAAAGCGUGGGGAGCAAACAGG
rnacentral:rRNA from 1 species